rnacentral:rRNA from 1 species
GACGAACGCUGGCGGCGUGCUUAACACAUGCAAGUCGAACGGAAAGGCCCUGCUUUUGUGGGGUGCUCGAGUGGCGAACGGGUGAGUAACACGUGAGUAACCUGCCCUUGACUUUGGGAUAACUUCAGGAAACUGGGGCUAAUACCGGAUAGGAGCCCCUGCUGCAUGGUGGGGGUUGGAAAGUUUCGGCGGUUGGGGAUGGACUCGCGGCUUAUCAGCUUGUUGGUGGGGUAGUGGCUUACCAAGGCUUUGACGGGUAGCCGGCCUGAGAGGGUGACCGGCCACAUUGGGACUGAGAUACGGCCCAGACUCCUACGGGAGGCAGCAGUGGGGAAUAUUGCACAAUGGGCGGAAGCCUGAUGCAGCAACGCCGCGUGCGGGAUGACGGCCUUCGGGUUGUAAACCGCCUUCGCCUGUGACGAAGCGUGAGUGACGGUAAUGGGUAAAGAAGCACCGGCUAACUACGUG